rnacentral:rRNA from 1 species
CCUACGGGAGGCAGCAGUGGGGAAUAUUGCACAAUGGGCGAAAGCCUGAUGCAGCGACGCCGCGUGAGUGAAGAAGUAUUUCGGUAUGUAAAGCUCUAUCAGCAGGGAAGAAAAUGACGGUACCUGACUAAGAAGCCCCGGCUAACUACGUGCCAGCAGCCGCGGUAAUACGUAGGGGGCAAGCGUUAUCCGGAUUUACUGGGUGUAAAGGGAGCGUAGACGGCGAAGCAAGUCUGAAGUGAAAACCCAGGGCUCAACCCUGGGACUGCUUUGGAAACUGUUUUGCUAGAGUGUCGGAGAGGUAAGUGGAAUUCCUAGUGUAGCGGUGAAAUGCGUAGAUAUUAGGAGGAACACCAGUGGCGAAGGCGGCUUACUGGACGAUAACUGACGUUGAGGCUCGAAAGCGUGGGGAGCAAACAGGAUU